rnacentral:rRNA from 1 species
CCUACGGGUGGCAGCAGUGGGGAAUAUUGCACAAUGGGGGAAACCCUGAUGCAGCGACGCCGCGUGAGUGAAGAAGUAAUUCGUUAUGUAAAGCUCUAUCAGCAGGGAAGAAAAUGACGGUACGUGAGUAAGAAGCCCCGGCUAACUACGUGCCAGCAGCCGCGGUAAUACGUAGGGGGCAAGCGUUAUCCGGAUUUACUGGGUGUAAGGGGAGCGUAGACGGCAGUGCAAGUCUGUAGUGAAAGGCGGGGGCUCAACCCUCGGACUGCUCUGGAAACUGUACGGCUGGAGUGCAGGAGAGGUAAGUGGAAUUCCUAGUGUAGCGGUGAAAUGCGUAGAUAUUAGGAGGAACACCAGUGGCGAAGGCGGCUUACCGGACUGUAACUGACGUUGAGGCUCGAAAGCGUGGGGAGCAAACAGGAUUAGAUACCCGUGUAGUC